CCCUUAGAUGUCCUGGGCCGCACGCGCGUUACACUGAUGCAUUCAACGAGCUUAUAACCUUGGCCGAGAGGCCUGGGCAAUCUUGUUAACGUGCAUCGUGAUAGGGAUAGAUUAUUGAAAUUAUUAAUCUUGAACGAGGAAUUCCUAGUAAACGCAGAUCAUCAAUCUGCAUUGAUUACGUCCCUGCCCUUUGUACACACCGCCCGUCGCACCUACCGAUUGGAUGAUCCGGUGAAGCCUCGGGAUUGUGGUUCUUGCCGCUUUAUUGUGGCGUGACCGCGAGAACUUGUCUAAACCUUAUCAUCUAGAGGAAGGUGAAGUCGUAACA
rnacentral:rRNA from 1 species